UACGUAGGUGGCAAGCGUUACUCGGAAUCACUAGCGUAAAGCGCAGGUGGGCGGUUUGGUAAGUCUUUUGUGAAAGCUCCCGGCUCAACUGGGAGAGGUCAAAGGAAACUACUAGGCUAGAGUGUGGUAGGGGAUACUGGAAUUCCUGGUGUAGCGGUGAAAUGCGUAGAUAUCAGGAGGAAUACCUAUGGCGAAAGCAGGUAUCUGGGCCAUCACUGACGCUGAGCUGCGAAAGCUAGGGGAGCAAACAGG
rnacentral:rRNA from 1 species